rnacentral:pre_miRNA from 1 species
GCUGUCUCUUGGAGUUCCUCUGAGCACUUCACGCGUGGGGCUAGUUCUAUUCAAUAUUACCAUUUAGAUAGAAUAGUCCUCAUCACUGAAAUGAAGUGUUUGGGGGAACUUUUGGGUACAAC